UGGCGGCGUGCCUAACACAUGCAAGUCGAGCGCGAAAGGGGACUUCGGUCUCUGAGUAGAGCGGCGGACGGGUGGGUAACACGUGGGUAACCUACCCUCGGGUGGGGAAUAACCUAGGGAAACCUGGGCUAAUACCGCAUCAUAUCCCGGGCUCAUAAGAAUCCGGGAUCAAAGCUGGGGACCCUUCGGGGCCUGGCGCCUGAGGAGGGGCCCGCGGCCGAUUAGCUUGUUGGCGAGGUAAUGGCUCACCAAGGCAACGAUCGGUAGCCGGCCUGAGAGGGCGGACGGUCACACUGGGACUGAGACACGGCCCAGACUCCUACGGGAGGCAGCAGUGGGGAAUUUUUGUCAAUGGGGGAAACCCUGAACAAGCAACGCCGCGUGGAGGAUGAAGGCCUUCGGGUCGUAAACUCCUGUCGGAGGGGACGAAAGCGGCUGGGGCGAAUAACCUCAGUUGUUGACGGUACCCUAGGAGGAAGCCCCGGCUAACUCCGUGCCAGCAGCCGCGGUAAUACGGGGGGGGCAAGCGUGGUUCG
rnacentral:rRNA from 1 species